GUGUUACUUUGGUAGCACGUAUACUAAAAUUGGAACGAUACAGAGAAGAAUUAGCAUGGCCCCUGCGCAAAGAUCACUUCUGAACUGAUCAAGCCUUUU
ensembl:snRNA U6 U6 spliceosomal RNA